rnacentral:rRNA from 1 species
UGGGGAAUUUUGGACAAUGGGCGCAAGCCUGAUCCAGCAAUGCCGCGUGCAGGAUGAAGGCCUUCGGGUUGUAAACUGCUUUUGUACGGAACGAAAAGCCUCUCUCUAAUACAGGGGGGUGAUGACGGUACCGUAAGAAUAAGCACCGGCUAACUACGUGCCAGCAGCCGCGGUAAUACGUAGGGUGCAAGCGUUAAUCGGAAUUACUGGGCGUAAAGCGUGCGCAGGCGGUUUUGUAAGACAGUGGUGAAAUCCCCGGGCUCAACCUGGGAACUGCCAUUGUGACUGCAAGGCUGGAGUGCGGCAGAGGGGGAUGGAAUUCCGCGUGUAUCAGUGAAAUGCGUAGAUAUGCGGAGGAACACCGAUGGCGAAGGCAAUCCCCUGGGCCUGCACUGACGCUCAUGCACGAAAGCGUGGGGAGCAAAACAGGAUUAGAUACCCUGGUAGUCCACGCCCUAAAACGAUGUCAACUGGUUGUUGGGGAUUUAUUUCUUCAGU